UGUGUUCACAACUCACUGCUGUGUGUGUGCACUUGCCUCUGUAAAUGGUACUGUUGGCAGCGGUCAUUCUUUGUUUAGUCCUGAGGUGUCCAAACCUGAUCCUGGAGGACCACUGCCCUGCAGAGUUUAGCUUCCACCCUUAUCAAACACACCUGAACAAGCUAAUCAAGGACCUUUAGAAACAUGUGUAUUGAAGCUAGUUGGGGCUAAAAUCUGCAGUAUGUUGGCCCUCCACAAGCCAUUAUUUUGCUUCACAGUAAUGUCUACUGAUAAACUGUCCACAAUAAGACCAUGAACUUGAAUUAAACAUGAUUAGUUUCAAUUUAAUGAUCAUUUUAUGGCUUAAAAGAUUGAUAAUGGCUGGGCUUCUGUGAGGACCUCUCGAGGUUUGUUGGGUUUCGCUCACUAAUGGUGUGUCUUCUCAAGACAUGCAGCUGCCCCGGGGUGAAUUGAGAGAGAAUGACAGAAACGGAAGAACGUAAAAUAAAAGCAGGGAGGGAGAAGGAACUAAUGCAUGGAGUGUACUCAGCUAUAGUAAGCUUGAUGCUGAUGGUUCCCUAGUCUUUAAUAACACACACCCAAACUAAACACACACACACCCAUAUAUUUCCCCUUAGCAUCUUGUCCUUGGGAAAGUCUUCAUCAGGGACAUUAUUUUUAUGGUCUCUGAAUGGACAGUGAGUGGCGCAGUAAUCAGACUCAAUCCGAUGACCAGCUCCCAAGCUGAGGCACAGAUAGAAAGAAAGAGAAAGGGAGAGAGAGAAUGAGAGAAGAGAAGGGAUGGGAAGGCACAGAGAGUGAAAGAUGACUGAAGGGAGGGAGGCAAAUCUGUGAGGUCUAUUUUCUGUAGUUUAAAGCAGAACCGUGAACUGCGUGAGUGUCUUCAAUGAGUAUAAACUGAAAUAUCAACAGGUUUUGCAAGAUAACCAAAAGCAUUGGCUGCAUUAUCUAAAGACAGCUAAUUUCCCUCAUAAAGUCGAGACAUGGAAAGGACAGAGAAUAAAGUGUCCUCCAUCUCCCCACAAAAACAGACAGUGAAAAAUAGAUCCAAGUCCACAGAGGAGGUACAGCAAGCCAAAAAGGCCUUUCAUACACCACAAAAAUCUCUCCCGGCUAAACCAGAAACCGAACAACUUGAGGAGACCUCAGAACUGCGUGCCUCAUCAGAGAUGAAAUGACUGUUGGACUUUGGGCUGGAAUUAUGGUUAAUAACAAGAGGAUGAUUCAGUGUUUUACGUGGUUUAGUUAGUAUUGAAGAAAACCAACAAAAGUGAUGUGUAGCUUUUUGAAUUGGUGUGAGUCUGUUUUGUUUGUGAAAUAAAUGCAAAGCUGGAUAUAUC